rnacentral:rRNA from 1 species
UACGUAGGGGGCAAGCGUUGUCCGGAAUCAUUGGGCGUAAAGAGCGCGUAGGCGGCUCGAUAAGUCUGCUGUGAAAGUCCAGGGCUCAACCCUGGAAGGCCGGUGGAAACUGCCGGGCUAGAGUCCGGAAGAGGCGAGUGGAAUUCCCGGUGUAGCGGUGAAAUGCGCAGAUAUCGGGAGGAACACCGAUGGCGAAGGCAGCUCGCUGGGACGGUACUGACGCUGAGACGCGAAAGCGUGGGGAUCAAACAGG